rnacentral:tRNA from 1 species
UGGAGUGUAGCUCAGUGGUAGAACAAUUGUAUAGUACACAUGAGGCCAUGGGUUCCAUCCCCAGCACUGCAA